GGACGAGAGCCGACGGCGCCAUGGUGGACGAGAGCCGAUGGAGGAGCCAUGGUGGACGGAGGCCCUGCCUUAAGAAUGAUGUCGGGACCCAAUGCCCUUGGCUGAUGGAGGAACUGCAUCUGGAGGACGACCAUGAAUCUACCUGCCAACAGGUGGUACUGGUUUGCACUGGUUUGCAUGAACUGAACAUGGUGGACAUGAGGCAAAUUCCCUGCUUUUUGCUCCAGACCAGGACUCUGUGAUGGAGGGGGGCUGAUAGAGCCGUGCUGAGGACCCGCUGGUGAAGGACGUCCCUCGGUGGGGGGGCAAGGACAGCCGACCCUGAGGAUCCGCUCGGAUCUACGAUCGCUACGAUGCGACUGCA